AACAUGACUCCUGGCCCGGAGAGCCUGUAAAACGUGGGCAUGCACUUAUUUGCUUUGCACUUGGAGAGAGAGCGGCUGGGAAGCGCGAGGUGGAGAAACUCCUCCAGCAGCCAGUGCCACAUCACUGGGCUGACUGCACACAAAGGGGCUCCAGCAUGCUUCUGCAGCUCCUGCUGCUGCUCGGGGCCCUGGCUAGGGUCACUGAGCCAGCCCCACGCUGUGAACCCGGCCAGGAGACCUUAGGCCAAUGCCAAACAGGAGAAAAAGCAAAAUGUGUGAGCUUCACCGCAGGCUC